rnacentral:pre_miRNA from 3 species
UCUUAUGGAUGAACAAAGAAAGUGGUUUCUUGAAGUGGAAUCUACUCCUGGUGAAGAUGCUGUGAA